CCCUGCAGCCCAAGACUGGUUGCCCACUGAAGCUAAGUACCUGGAUGGGAGACCUCCUGGGAAAACUAGGUUGCUCCUGGAA
rnacentral:rRNA from 1 species